GACGAACGCUGGCGGCGUGCCUAAUACAUGCAAGUAGAACGCUGAAGCGAGGAGCUUGCUCUUCUUGGAUGAGUUGCGAACGGGUGAGUAACGCGUAGGUAACCUGCCUUGUAGCGGGGGAUAACUAUUGGAAACGAUAGCUAAUACCGCAUAACAAUGGAUGACACAUGUCAUUUACUUGAAAGGGGCAAUUGCUCCACUACAAGAUGGACCUGCGUUGUAUUAGCUAGUAGGUGAGGUAAUGGCUCACCUAGGCGACGAUACAUAGCCGACCUGAGAGGGUGAUCGGCCACACUGGGACUGAGACACGGCCCAGACUCCUACGGGAGGCAGCAGUAGGGAAUCUUCGGCAAUGGGGGCAACGCUGACCGAGCAACGCCGCGUGAGUGAAGAAGGGUUUCGGAUCGUAAAGCUCUGUUGUAAGUCAAGAACGGGUGUGAGAGUGGAAAGUUCACACUGUGACGGUAGCUUACCAGAAAGGGACGGCUAACUACGUG
rnacentral:rRNA from 1 species